rnacentral:lncRNA from 1 species
AACCAUCCAGCCCUGCAGCUUCAUGCAUCUCCCUUCCUCUGAGCCUUCCCUUCCUACCUUAUCAUCUGUUAUAUAGACAUUAGUCAAGUGUCAAUUCAGUCCACCUAGAACUCAAGAGAAUUCCUGAUUCCUCUGACAUAACUGCUUGAGCCUCAUCAAUACUGUAAAGAAUCUGGAGUUCUCCUAAGUUUGGUUAAUCACAGGAAAUGUGGAAACAUCAGGAAGGUAAGGAAACCUUGGCGGAGACCCACAAGUUCGAGAUCCUCUCUUCUUUUCUAUUAUUAUUUCUACUCUUCUGAAUCAUCUAGAGAGAUCCCUGAGAAGGGAAAGCAUAGGACAUCUAUUCUCAUGAAAGAAUAAAGCAUCACCCUCUGGGUGCCCC